AACGGCCACCAGUCGAUGAGUUCCUCAUUAUAAUUGGUGGUUUACUGGUAGAUACUGACUGACACGCUGCAUGCGAUUGAGCAAAAUUUCUGCUUUUCAUGAUCAUGCUCCGCAGAACGCCCUGCGGACAUGCGAGCCCGCGUUGUUCCCGGGCCGGGCCGCCACCUUCUGCACACACGGACAAAAACAGCUUGAGAUGGGGAGUCCACAUGGAUAAACAUUUACCGUGGAUGGAAGGCAACAAGAGAGACUUGUCUUCAUCAACCUCAUUAAGCGGCCUUGGGGAUGAACUACAACCGAGAUCUCUCAGGUACAACCGCUGUGACCUCACAGAUGUUCUUCGGGAUGAAUGAACAAAGAGUCUGAAAGAUGUGCA